AGUGAACGCUGGCGGUAGGCCUAACACAUGCAAGUCGAACGGCAGCACAGUAAGAGCUUGCUCUUACGGGUGGCGAGUGGCGGACGGGUGAGGAAUACAUCGGAAUCUACUUUUUCGUGGGGGAUAACGUAGGGAAACUUACGCUAAUACCGCAUACGACCUACGGGUGAAAGCAGGGGAUCUUCGGACCUUGCGCGAUUGAAUGAGCCGAUGUCGGAUUAGCUAGUUGGCGGGGUAAAGGCCCACCAAGGCGACGAUCCGUAGCUGGUCUGAGAGGAUGAUCAGCCACACUGGAACUGAGACACGGUCCAGACUCCUACGGGAGGCAGCAGUGGGGAAUAUUGGACAAUGGGCGCAAGCCUGAUCCAGCCAUACCGCGGGGGUGAAGAAGGCCUUCGGGUUGUAAAGCCCUUUUGUUGGGAAAGAAAAGCAGCAGGUUAAUACCCCGCUGUUCUGACGGUACCAAAAGAAUAAGCACCGGCUAACUUCGUG
rnacentral:rRNA from 1 species